rnacentral:rRNA from 1 species
GAAGCCUUCGGGUUGUAAACCCCUUUUGUACGGRACGAAACGGUCKKCUUUAAUACAGAGGGCUAAUGACGGUACCGUAAGAAUAAGCACCGGCUAACUACGUGCCAGCAGCCGCGGUAAUACGUAGGGUGCGARCGUUAAUCGGAAUUACUGGGCGUAAAGCGUGCGCAAGCGGUUAUAUAAGYCAGAUGUGAAAUCCCCGGGCUCAACCUKKGAACUGCAUUUGAGACUGUAUARCUASAGUACGGUARAGGGGGAUGGAAUUCCGCGUGUAGCARUGAAAUGCGUAGAUAUGCGGAGGAACACCGAUGGCGAAGGCAAUCCCCUGGACCUGUACUGACGCUCAUGCACGAAARCG